rnacentral:rRNA from 1 species
GAUGAACGCUGGCGGCGUGCCUAAUACAUGCAAGUCGAGCGAACAGACGAGGAGCUUGCUCCUCUGACGUUAGCGGCGGACGGGUGAGUAACACGUGGAUAACCUACCUAUAAGACUGGGAUAACUUCGGGAAACCGGAGCUAAUACCGGAUAAUAUAUUGAACCGCAUGGUUCAAUAGUGAAAGACGGUUUUGCUGUCACUUAUAGAUGGAUCCGCGCCGCAUUAGCUAGUUGGUAAGGUAACGGCGUACCAAGGCAACGAUGCGUAGCCGACCUGAGAGGGUGAUCGGCCACACUGGAACUGAGACACGGUCCAGACUCCUACGGGAGGCAGCAGUAGGGAAUCUUCCGCAAUGGGCGAAAGCCUGACGGAGCAACGCCGCGUGAGUGAUGAAGGUCUUCGGAUCGUAAAACUCUGUUAUUAGGGAAGAACAAAUGUGUAAGUAACUAUGCACGUCUUGACGGUACCUAAUCAGAAAGCCACGGCUAACUACGUG